CUCAGAAACCCUCCAGUGUCCUGACUAAUCUUAUACCAGAACUGCGGCGAUAAAAUAUUUCAUUUCGUGGCAUCUUGUGGCUUGUUUUCCUGUUGUGUAGCUCUUCCCGCAGGCCACUCUAUCUCUCCGUUUUUCAAUAUUUACUGUUCCUGAUGAACAUCUCAGGUGAUCUUUCAUGAACAGAAAAUGAAUCAGCAGUGAAACUUGUCAUCAUUUAUUCUCUAUUUCAAGGUGUUUUGUGUAGAGAAUUCUCCAUCAGUCUACCAGAGAGUGUAGAAGCUGUGAGAGGACUCUGUGUUCUCAUACCCUGCAGUUAUGAGAUUGAAGAACAAUAUGAUGGAGACCUCCAGAA
ensembl:lncRNA